rnacentral:rRNA from 1 species
AUACGGAGGGUGCGAGCGUUAAUCGGAAUUACUGGGCGUAAAGCGUGCGUAGGCGGUUUGUUAAGUCAGAAGUGAAAGCCCUGGGCUCAACCUGGGAACGGCUUUUGAGACUGGCAGACUAGAGUUGAGUAGAGGGGAGUGGAAUUUCCGGUGUAGCGGUGAAAUGCGUAGAGAUCAGAAGGAACACCAGUGGCGAAGGCGACUCCCUGGACUCAAACUGACGCUGAGGUACGAAAGCGUGGGUAGCAAACAGGAUUAGAAACCCUAGUAGUCC